rnacentral:rRNA from 1 species
CCUACGGGUGGCUGCAGUGGGGAAUAUUGGACAAUGGGCGCAAGCCUGAUCCAGCAAUGCCGCGUGUGUGAAGAAGGUCUUCGGAUUGUAAAGCACUUUCGGGGACGAUGCGGUACCGCAGAAGAAGCCCCGGCUAACUUCGUGCCAGCAGCCGCGGUAAUACGAAGGGGGCUAGCGUUGCUCGGAAUGACUGGGCGUAAAGGGCGCGUAGGCGGUUUGUACAGUCAGAUGUGAAAUUCCUGGGCUUAACCUGGGGACUGCAUUUGAGACGUGCAGACUUGAGUGUGGAAGAGGGUCGUGGAAUUCCCAGUGUAGAGGUGAAAUUCGUAGAUAUUGGGAAGAACACCGGUGGCGAAGGCGGCGACCUGGUCAUACUGACGCUGAGGCGCGAAAGCGUGGGGAGCAAACAGGAUUAGAUACCCUUGUAGUC